GCUGUGACCUGGCAGGGCAGGUGUGGGUGGCUGACAGGUGCAGUAAAGGGAGGGAAGGACUCGCCUGCUCGGUGACCCUCUCUCAGGGCCUCUCCCUCCCAGCACUUGUCACCCUGUAAGAUGAGUUACUUAUGUGGCGCUCGAGGCAUGAAAGUGACCAUCUCCUGACUUUUCUCAAUAACACAAAGGCCGGCUCUGAGAUUCAGCUCAUGAGGAAGCCAGGUCCAGCCACUUCUGGGCUGUCCUUACAGAAACGCCAUGAGGCCGUCACGAUCCAUGGUGGCCACCCUGCCCUUUCCCUUGCUGAGUCACCAGCAUGUCCCUGCUUCACUGGGGAGGCCUCUGCGAUGAGGUCCUGGUUCCCAGCAGGGACAGACACCCAAACCGUCACCUCCUGCAGCUGAUCCCGAGGGGCUGGGGCCUCACUCCUCCAGUCCCCCACAUUCAACACCGCAAAGCACUCAGAUCAGCUGUUCUCAUCGGAUUCACCUGCAGAGAUUUAAAAACUACUGACCACCGGCUCUCACCUCAGAUUUCCCAGUUUAAUCACCUGGAUGUAGUCUGGGCAUGGGGACUUUCGAAAGUUCCAAGUGAUUCUAACCUGCAGCCAAGAUUGAAGCGACUGCCAGCCCAGUUCCUCUUCACUGGGCACAGACAACAGGCACCUCCCCAGCUACCUGCAGAGCAGGAGCAGUUAACGUCAACAUGGGACGCCAGCCUCCUGCCUGCCCAGAUGCUGUGUCUUUAAAAGCCUUGCUAGGCUGAGGACAGGGGCUGAAGGGCGGCCUGAAGUGGGCAGCGUGGUACCGCUUGCCCAGAGUUUUGAAAACAAAAGCUUCUUCCUGUCCUCACCCAGCAGCAGCCCUGCGAAUGAGGUGAUGUCCAUCUCACAGAAGAGGAAACUGAGGCCCUGCGUCACACAGCUGGCAGGUGAAAGAGCCGUGUGUUUGAGGCAAAGCCCAGUGACUGGCACCAGUAGAAAAGACGGAGGAGUUCAACUUCUUCCCAGAGCUGGGGAGGACUGCAGAGGAAUUGAAAAUAAGGAGUGUGGAGGAAGAAGCAGAGGGGGAUUUACGAGUCCAGCUGUGCAGACUUUUGGAGAAAUUCAGAGAAGUUUUUAAAGCUGGAAAUGUUCUCAGAAGUCGUCUAUUCCAUUCUAGCCCUCCCUUAUAAAAUUGUGGCAAUCUUUGAGUCAGUUUGGACUGAAGUCUGGGAACUUGACCUGAGAGGAGAAAGCUCGGGCAAGGACCCAUGGGGCCGUUGUCCUGUGCUUGGUCAAGUCCACGGAUUGAGGGUGACAUCUGAGAAUGAUCUGUGGCUACAGCGGUGGGGAACAGCGUCUGAUCCAGGCGUCUCCCGUCUACAGAGGGACAUCAGGAUGUUGAGCUUUCUUUUGCCUGAGUCUGGAUUUUUCAUAGCACCGGCCUAGCAGUGUGGUUCCUGGGUCUGGUCUCUGCUCUGCUGUUGACUCACACUGGGACCUCGGACUCCAC
rnacentral:lncRNA from 1 species